rnacentral:lncRNA from 1 species
AAAAGGAGCUACUUUCUCGAUUCCAUCAAUGCUUGCCAGAGAUUGCACAAAAGCAAUGGGUAUCAUGGAAAAGAAGGUGAGGAAAAAGAACGCAACGGCCAUAAUUAGUCUUCUGAUUGUGAGAGAAACAUAUGGGAUGGCAAGGUUUGGCCAAUACACAUCACGUGGCUCCGGAGCCCAAUCAGUGAGCCAUAGAGUUGGAUUUCUGCACUGUUGAGUUUGUGCACAGACAGCUGCACCCCAUCUAGUCUUGAAGGAAACAAAUGCAGCAGGCAUUAUAGACUUUGGAUCACCUGCAACUUUCUCUCUUUCUGCUUCUAUCUGAACAGAAGAUUGUCAAUUACAUUAAUGCGGUCCUCAAUUAAGAUCAUUCGGUACUCACAGAAACGAAUAUAGGUAUCAGUUGUGCUUACUUCUUUUGAUAGUUUCUCAACUUCCGAAGUAUAAUAAUCAAGAGUAUCAACCUGAUUUCCACAUAGCCCAACAAAACCAGUCUGGUAAAAGGAAGAUAUCACGAAGUGAUGUAAGUGACACAAUGCAUCAAGGAAAAAGAACCAUUAAAACUCUCAGUUGAAGAUGCAGUCUCUCAUACAAAUCUCUGAUAUUCUAUAGUACCUUUGUUAAGGGUCUUUUUGAAUUAUUUCUGGUAUACUUAAGCUGGCAAAAGUCUAGCCUGUUCUGCAUUUUUUUCUUCUUCUUGACCAACUCAGCAAGCUUGUUUGCGUUGUACACCACCUGCAGAAAAUUUCGAAGUAAGGAAUUGAAGAAAUAGAAUUAUGUCUGAAUAAAAGCAUCCACUGACGAUUAUACGGAUGGCAAUGCAUAUGAUACAUUAAAAUAUGAUAAUAAUCUGUCCAACAAAGUUGAAAAAGGCUUAAGUCUUUGACUUUUUCAAAUGGCUAACACUUUCUCACAGGUUAACAGAAGGCCAGUAGGAAGAUCAAAAGUACAAAGAGUGGCCAACAGCAACAGCCAGCAACUCUUUCUAAUGGACAAGGUGAGGCAGCAAAGGGUCAAAAAGGAGGGGGAGAAGGGAAUCUUUUCUUGCUCGUGUACCAUGCCAGCACAUAGAUAGCAGACAUGUUAUUACCUAAAGUCUCUAGCGUCAAAGCAAAAACUAAUGCGGCAAUAAAUGAUAUGUAAAGCACGGAACAAGAUUCAUAUAAACCAAAAGGGAAAGGUCACACAGACAGAAGCUAUCACAGAUCCUAGGAAGGAGCAUGAUGAGCUAAUGGAUUUACAUAGAAAGUAUCCACCAUAAUUAUUCUAGAAAGACAUUCAGUUUCAUCAAGCCAACCUGAUGGGUCAGAUAAUGAUCCGGGUGAUUAACCAAGAAGAAGUGCUCCACAAGCUCACUAACAGACUCAUCUGGAUCUGGGGGAACAUUUCUGACAAGUACCUGUAAAAAUACGGUUCCAAGGAAAAAUGUCUCAUGUUACGAAGAAACCCUUGGAAUUCUAGCCUCCAAGUUCCAAAAUUACAGAUUACAACCAAAUCAAGGUUAAUUAAAAAUCAUUUAUUUAGUUUAAUCAACACCAAUGAUACAUGGAGUCCACCCUACCGAAAAUUGAUCAGCGCGUGGCCGUUCAGAUGCAAGAAACUGCAGCCGCAUCAAAGCAACUGUCUCAUACUCCUUACGCAACACAUAGCAUGUCCAAAAGGUGAAGACAUAAGCCAUUAUAAUAUGAGCCCAAAACCUGCCACAUGAUGCAUUAAAUGAAUAGUUUGAUAAUAAGUCACUACCGAAAUGUAAUCAGAGUUUAGUAAAACAUUUUAUUGAAGAUAAGUUGUGUAAGGACCUUGGGUCUGCCACUAUACAUAUAUUGUUCACUUUGGAUACUAAGUUAUUGUCAUUUUAUUUUUCUUGAGAUAGCCAUACUACCCCAAGAAAACGUAUAUAUAUAGUUAGAGGAACCAAGCCUUAUAAGUCAGCCCAAAACUCCCUCCCUAAGUAAUGUGGGACAAGAGACGCGCCCCAUCCCUGCACAUGUCUGGGGACUAAGGUACACCGCCAUUCCUCCUCCUCACGUACCGCCACCUCGGCCAUCACACUCUCCACCCCUUAGGAGCACAGCGUCCUUACUGUGGCCCCACACACGAUCGUGCAUCAGCUCUUAUACCACCUAUAAGGACCCUAGGCCCAUCACUAUACAUAUAUUGUAUGCUUUAAUUACUAAGUUCUCACGGUUUUGUUUUUCUCGAAACAGCUCAUACUCCCAAGCCUUAUAAGCCAGCCCAGAACUCACAAUCUAGGUGAUGUGAGACAAGAGACACACCCCUUCCCAGCAUGUCUAAGGACCGAGGCACAGAUGCACUACCAUCCCUCAUCCUCACGCACCGCCUCCUAGCGGUUACACUCUCCACCUCUUAAGAACACAGCAUCCUCGCCAUGGCCCCAUACACGGUCAAGAGUCGACUCUGAUAGUAUCCAUAUCAUUGUUAAAUAUCUUAGCAAGAGCAAUUGAUCAUAUCCAAGAAACAAGAAAGGAUGAACUGCAUUAAUAUAAGCAAGGCAAUGCAUUGAAAUUAGCAUGGCUAUUGAGUGAAUAUUAGCAAAGACAAUAAAGCUAAAUAUUAUCAGGAUUCUACCUAUGACGAAACUCUUGCUACAAGCUUCAAGAUAUUUUUCUGAAAUAUUUUAUAUCAAAAUUUUACAGCUAGUGAUAUGGCAUGAAUUCCCUGUUUAGAAAAUAUUGAUUGACUUUCAUUCUUAAACAUUAUCUUUGUCACAUAUUUAAUCACUCAAGAUAUCUUAAAUAAUUGGCAAUCAUCCCAAAUGCAAGAUUCUUUCCUUAGCUAAAGCAAUCUACUUAUGGAAAUCAAAAUUUUUUUGGAUGGACGAUUAAAUCAAUGGAAUCUAUGAUUGUUCAACCUGAAUUGCUACCCUAAUCUUCUUAACAAUCGUCUAACAUUGCUUGGAGAUUGAUCCUCUUGAAGACUGUCCAAACGAAAAGUUUUAGAUGUUGAGGAGUAUAAAAGAAGACCAAAGCGUCGAAGAGAGACUAAUGAAGAGAUAAAAAUUCCAAAUUCUAAGAAAGCUUCACGUGUUCUCAUUGUCUUUCAUGAGCAUUCCAUUGUAAUCUUUUGAGAAGUGUUGGUAGAGUGAUAGCUUGUGUUUAGAUGUGAGAUAGUGAGUCCUAUCAGUUUAUGUAAUAAGUAAUACCUACUUUGAGGAGAAGUGCUUAAGUUCAAGCAACACUUGCUAAUGUAGACUCUAGCCAAUAGACUGUUGGCAUAAGACAAUGGACAUAGCCUUACACUAAGCUGAGCCAUUGUAAAGCUUUGUGUGCAGAGUUUUCUUUCUCCCUAGUUAAUUCAUUUAUUGCUCGAUAGAAAUACUAUACUCAAAUAUUACCAAAAUCUAAUCAUUUUCAUACUCUCUAGGAUUUGUUAAAAUCAUCUAUUCACCCCUUCUAUGUGAUAUUGUUAGCAUAGCAUAGGCAUUAUACUGUAGCAACAUGGUCCCAAUAACAGCCCUCGUAGUUUGGUUUGGAGAAAGAGACCAAGGAUAAAAAUGGGUGUUCAUUCAAAUUUGAUACAAAUUUAUAUUUUUUGGGAAUUAGUUGAAAUCCUUUAUUUUUCAUUUCAAACCAAUUGUUCAAAUUCAAGAUCUCCCACCACAUGGAUCUCUUGGAAAAUCAUUGGAUUAUCAAAUUAUCUAUCGAGCCAUGAAAAAGAUUCAACAAAAGACUGACAACGUAAAUACCUUUUUAUGAAAAAAAUCAAGCUCUACUUCCGUGUUGCUCAAUACGUUCCUCAAAAAAUCCGAUUUGGCCUAAUAGAUUGAUUUAGAGAAUCGAAAUCAAGAAGAAACGGGCAUAUGCUUAGUAAGUCAAUUGAUAGGUUUGGUAAUCCAAACUAAGGAAUCCCUUAGAUAUGAUGCAAAUGAUAAUUGAGAUUCAAGCUGUGAGAUGUUGGUGCAAAAGGAAACCUGAGUAAGGGGGAGCAAAUUAACACCAAGCUCAUACAUGAGCGAAAAAUUGUUGCAUUGCACAUUUAUUUGUGUUUAAAAAAAAAAUCCCACAUUAGAUAACUGGUGUGGUGUGGAGUAAUUAAUAUAUUUUAGUUGGCAGAUAACUCGAUGACUCGUGCUUUUGAGUGAAGGUGUAUCUAAGUAGAUAUAUUAAUGGGCUUGAACUUUAGACACCCUCUAGGUAACUCUCUAAGUGAAGUGUAUCAAAUUGCAGUAGUGCACUUCCAACAAAUGAUAUCAAUGCCGUGCUUGAUUGAAUUAAAGCGAAUCAAUAGCAACAAAAGAAGUAAAAGUGAAAGUCGACAGAUUAGAUGGGAAAUAUUUUGGUUUUUAGAGGAAUAUACACUUACCCCUAUCUGAGGAGAAGCCAAACUUGAUGAAGCAAAAUUUUGGGAAUUGCUAGAUCAUAUGGGUUCAAUGAAGGCCCUAUCAUACAUGUACAAGAAGCCCUUUGGGAUCAACAAAGUCUACUUGAUACAAUGUCUCUUUAACUUAAAGAUGGGCAUAACUGAUCAUAUCAAAAAAUUCAAUAUGAUCGUUAGUCAUUUAAGUUCGGCUAAAACUGACUUAAAUGAGGAGGUACUUACUUUGAUUCUAUUAUUCUCAUUGCCUAUUAGUUGAAAUACUAUGUUAUUGCUAUCAGUGAUUCCUCUAAGUCAACAAGCUUGAGACUUGAUUGGUCCACGGUUUGAUUUUAAGGACAUCCGUAAGACAUAAUUUGGUGAAGUGUUCAAAUGGAUUUGGACGUUAUUUAGCUCAAGAUGAAUUGCAACCAGAAACUCCUAUUAUGACAAGUACUAGCAGAGUAAUCGAAAUAGAUGUUGCUAAUAGCAAAGUGAAGCCUAUAGAGCCAAUACUUGUAGUAAUUAAUAAAUUAAACAAGGUGCGUGUUCUAUCUCCCGACAAAUAUGGAUGCAACUAGAGUUUUGCUUUAUCUGUGAUUGAGAAGAUGGCAUCAAAAAAUCCCUAUGAAGCGGUGGAAGGCGAACAUGGAGUUGGUAUUCUGAUGAGAUCUGUGGUUAUAGUAAAAUUCAAGCGUGGCUUGGACUUAGAAGAUAUAUGUGGCAAUUGAGCCCAUGAGGAGCUAUGGGAGGGUAGCAGCAAAGUUCAGAUUUUCCGGCAAAGUGAUUAUGACUUAGCUUAAUAUCAAGCCAAGGUUGAUGUUAUUAAAAUUAUAUCUCAAGUUUGAGCUCGAAAAGUAAAAUUUCUUAAUCCAAGUAAGUUUCCUAAUUUGAACAAGUUUCUUAGUUGAAUAGUUUCCUAGUUGGAGUAGGUUUCCUGUAAAGGGUUUUCCAAUUUUGAAUCCAAUUCUCUUAUAUAUAAGAAGUGGUUAGAGUUUCCAAGAGGACCUUGUGCUUGCAAAUCUUGUGGUAAGAUUUGUGAAAUUCCUUUAUGAGAUUAAGAGGUUAUUUCAUGAGGAAUUGUAAGUGAUAAACACUAUAUGAAUUAUUAGGUAUCAUUGGGGGUUGGUAAAUAUUGAGAGUGUUUGAGCAACUUGAGUGUGGUUAUAAUCCUUAUGUUAUCAUUUAAUCUAUAAUAAAAUUAUUUACUACCAACCUCUGUACAUGAGUCACACCAACCGAAUCACGCAAAUGUGAUAUGCAAUUUAUUUUAUUGCUCCAUUUAUUUUGUUGUUCGAUCACUUAUUUCCACAACAAAAGCCAAAGUUAGUCCUUUCAAGAUAAUUGGUUAGAAAGGGGAAAAAUAAAAAGUCAAUUGACGGUCUCAUGACAUUCCAAGACUGUAAGUGUCAGUUAUAUGUAGCAUGACUUCUUAUAUUUUGCCUGGAUGAACAGACAUCAUGGAACCUCUGCAGAGGAACUGUCCAAGAUUACGGAUUUGGUGAAACCACAUAUAACAGUUGUUUUCCAAUUUUUUAGUGAAACUCUUAAAUAUACCCUUUCAUCCCUGGCUCAACUGUUUCAAUGCAACUAAAAGACUUCAGAAGAUUAAAAUUAUAGCCUAUAAAGCAAGCCUGAUGAAAAUAAGCAACAAGCCCACUGUAAUUCUUGUGAAGCCCAAACUGAAUACCAACUAUCAGCUUAUCACCCUCCGGAACACAGACUUACAUUGGCGAAGGAAAAAAAAAAGAAGCAAGGAAUAGCAGAUCAAAAUAAGCAAAAGCUCCAUACCUAUUUGAUCCGAGUGGGACAUUUGAAAUUGAGAGUUUGUCUAUAUAGCUAGAAGUUACAUUCUUAACCCUGGCCUGCUCUAGAGUGCUAUUCAUCCAAUUUACGGGAACCAAAAUAGUCCACGCCAGGAUUGUUAGAGGAACAAAGAUCUUCAGUCUGCAUCAAUGACAUGGAGAAAUUAGGAGAACAGUUCCUGAUGCAUCUACAGCUGUGCAUUGCCAACUGAACAGAUUUUUAGCUACACAGGACACUUUUAGAGAAUAUAUUCUGGCUCGUAUGGUACGUACAUGAAUAGAUUGCACUCCACAAUCCUCAUAACAGAGAAAAACGAACAGGGCAACAUGCUUAGUGUAACAAGAGCUUACUUGGCUGUCGGUAAAUCAACCUACAAUUGUACAAGUAGCCGAUGUUACAUCAGUUGUUCUUUUCCCCUGUUUUUAAUUCAUGAAACUUCAUCCUUUUCUACAAUUUUUAAUUGCGCCAAAAUUGCCCACCACGUUAAAAAAAACUACAUGCAGGUCCUUUUGAUGGAUCUAUGGGCCCAUUUGGUAUUCUAUAGAGGUGCUGCAGUGGAGUAGUGGUAGCUGAGUUGUGAUAUGAUGUUCCAAAAAUAUUAAAGACGCACUGCAUGCUUUAGAGCUGCCCCCCCAGGAGCAACAUCUCAGAACAAAGUGGGGCAGCUCCCGGAAAAAGCACCUUAGAGGUACUGCAACUUGUGAAGCUUCACAAUGUCUGAACAUUAUACCGAGCACUUAAUUGAAGCUGAAGCGAUCUUUCAAAAGCUAUAGCUUUUGCCCUGCGAAUAUAUCAAACAUCAUCUAAGUCUACCCUAACGUGCCUCUUUUAUGACAAUUGGCAUACAGGUUCUCAUUCCUGUACCACAUCCACUAGCAUGCCAAGAUUUACUCAACUUAAGGCUAGAACUUGAGUAUAAUAUCGUUUCAAAUGGAAUUAUAGGAGCAUCUACCCUGCCUUUAAUCCACAUAUGCAACCGAAGAUCAUCAAAGCAAAAGCAAACACAGGCAUUCAUGCAAUUGUAAUAGAAAACAUAUGAUGGCAUUAUGUCCUGCAUCGAAUUGCGUAAACCCUCGAUGAAUUAACAAGAGAUAAUGACACUAAUCAAUUGCGGCUUGACACAUCCAUGCAACAGGAAGAGAGGUCAAAAUCUAAUUCGGCUUACCCCAACAGAUAGAGUCUUAAAUAGACAGCAGAAUCCAAUCCCGCAUGUUCAAUAAGUUCUUGUUCAGGCAUUUUGAGCGCAUCUGGCAUCCAAUUUAAAAACCUCAUGCAUGAACGGAAGUCCAAGUUGACAAACUCGGGAACAGAUGGCCCCCCACGAGUCGAGCUGGUCCGUAAGCCCUUGAGAUACCAUUUGGGGAAAUAUACUCUAUCAUUGUAAGGUUGAAGCCUUAGAAUGGCAAAUGCUACGGAAAACGCCAAUACACUGAGAAUACUGAUUGCUACAGCAAGUCCUAUAUCCGAAAGAGUUGCCAUAUGUCCGUUCCCUUAUUCAUAAAAAAAUUGUUCCACCUGCAGAGAAAGAAAACAUAUAUCAGCACAAGCUGUCAAUUCAUAUUUUUGAAAGAGAUAAUGAGACGUAAUAUCCUCAUGAAGUUCCAUCAUAUACUUGAGAACGACAAUAAGGUAUAAUAGCAAGCUAGCUCUAAUUGCAGUGAGAAGCAUUCAAUCGACUAUCCCAUGUUCUAAUGCCUCAGCUGAUUUUGGGCAGGUGUAUAGCUGAUUUUGGGCAGGUGUAUCAAUCUUCCUCAAAAAAUCAACCUACAAGGGAAAAAAUUGAGGCAAGUUUGAGCAUCCGUUCUGCGACCCCUAGCUACAUACAAAGAGUGAUCUCAUAGCACACGACAGACAUGUGACUAUUGAUAUUGCCCGUCUAACCACUUCACUUACAACUUGCUCUCUCCUCUCAAACCUUAAGUGGCAAGACCAGUCCCCACGCUCAAGUUCCUUAAACAUCAAAAGUUGAGGAAUUACUCACAAGUUCCUGGAAUAGGCAAACUGAAUUUUCUCUUUUGCUAGGUAGUGGGUAGUAGGUAUACCUCUAUGCAAAUCUCUCUUAUGAUCGUUUCAAGCACCAAGCUUCAUCACUGAGCAGGCUUGCACAUUCACAUCGCGCAUGCUGUAUGCCACAGAACAACUACUUCAGCUUUUGCUAGACAGAUUCAUGUUUGUGAGGAUGGUUGCCUCAGGAAAUCUGAUUAGAAAAUGAGAGAAUGGUUAUAAUGCUUGAAAGAUAGGAUGGAGCCAUUAAGUUAAUUUUUCAAUAGAAAAGAAGUUGACAAUUUUGUAUAAGAGUUUGUAAUCAAGCUUUACAAAUAAAUUUUGUUAAACUUUUGAAAAAGUUGUCCUCGAAAGUGAUGGUAGUUUCGUAUAAUUGCUAGUAAUUUUAUUCCAUUGACAAAUUUCACAAAUAAAUAUUUCUAAAUUAUUGGAACAGCUUGUACUUUUGAAACGCCCAAAUAAAUAGAAAAAAAAAAAAAGACAUUACCACGCUUACUUUAAAAUCAAAACUUUUCACUAGAUUACUUAAAUGGAUGUUCUAACGAGUCCUCUUACGUGACUUUUUAAAUUAAUUUUUUAUUACGAGGUGGCUUUCUUGAAAAAUUUCUAAGUUCAAGGUGGAUGAUUUUCGAUCGACAUGCAAAAAAGGGGUCAAAACGUGGUUUUUACCCUUCUGUUCUCCAAUUUCAUUUGAAACUGAAACCAUAAAUUCUAGAAAGGGAAAUGCUCUUCUAAAAAGCUUGAGCAGUGGAUGGGUUCAAGAUGAGAUGAGUAGAGGAGAUGUUCAAGCUUAUGAGAUAACAAAGUGGGGAUCGGUCCAAUCGGGUUAAGUGAGGCACGAGUCUGACAACGCAACACGCGGAAUUGCGAUUAAUUUGGAUGAAUCACAAAGAAAUUGCUGGGUUUGGGACGGGCCUCGCCAGAAUCCUGCAGAUCGCAGAGAAAUUGAAGAUGAUGAAAACGGCAUGCUGGGGACAUUAAUGAAAAAUCACCAGCAUCUUCCUUCAUCAAGAGAGAGCUCUCUUCUUGGCCGUUACUUUUUUCUUUUCUCUGUUUUGCCGGUUCCUCCCUUGUUCCCGGUUCGGCCCUCUCUCUGUUUUUCUCUGACCUUCCCCUCUUUGCCCUCCCCAAUUUUACAGCUCCCUCUCUCCAGUUAGUUUUUUCUCCCCCGCUUUUCCAACACGAAAUUAAGCCGUUUGUCAUGCUUCUACUCUCCAUUCUAAGAUUCACCUCAAAUUUUGACCCAAAAUGCAAAGUUUUGAAUUAGGGUCGAAGAAGAGGGGAUUUGGUUGAUUUGGCCAAAUUAAAAAGAAUGAAUAUCUUUGUGCAAGAAUGAGUGAUUUCAACACAUUUCUAAACUCUAACUACUGGGAUUCGCCCUAAUAGCCACCCUUCCAACAUGGAAGGGGAAAAGUGGGGGGUUCAAAUCCCCACCUUCUCAAGGGGAAUGGGAUGAGGACGCAUAAGUUUCAGAAGUAGGUUUCGACACCCAUGCCCUGCAAGAGGCAGGGCAAAAGUCUGAGAAUAAGUGUAGAGUAGGAAUAAAGUAGGACUGACAAAAAAAAAACACAUUUCUAAACUCUGAAAUAAUCUGAACAAAAAAAAAAACUCUCAAAAUAAAUACCUUUGAAUUAUUAAAAAGUUGGUAAUUAGGAUACGAUAAAAUAAACAACGACAACCAAUUCAAAUAAAGUUGAUAACUUCAUAUAAGAACAAAAAAUUUAAGCUUGCAUUGUUCAGUGAUAAGUUUCAAUUUAAAUGAUGGUAAACUAUCAUAACAAUACUGACCAAAAAAAAAAAAAAAUUAUCAGAACAAUUGGUGAGUCUGUAACAAUUUAUUAAAUAUUGAUACAUUAGAGAUGUAAAUCCUAGAGUUAUCGUUGGCUUACAGAAUUGAUCCAUGGAUUUUCUCACUGACGCAGAGUUCUUCGUUGUCCCAAAAGAUGCACAGUCCGGCACCGGUUAAGAUAUGAUAAAAAGAAGUCAAUGAAUCCACAAGUAACGAGUCCUCUAAAAUUCAGGAGCACUAGGUACUCGGUUUCUUGCUGACGUCCCUGACUCUAAGGUUGCCGUAGUUGCUUUGCUUCAUGGAUCGAUAUCUCUGUUUUUCUUCCUCUGGUAUGGCUGAAGAAGAUGCUCUUGGAUGUAAUUUAACAAAGUUAGCACUUAAGAAGCACCGACACCCUCCAGGAGCUUUCGGAUAGUGUCCAACACUCCGUUAAGUGUCUAACACAUUCCGAUACGUUCCGACACACUUCGAUAGUCAACAAGUGUCGGAAAAUUCGAUAUGUGAUCUACUCUUCUCGACACACGAAUUCGAAAUUCCGACACACGAUUAUGACACAAAUAGGGUUAUUCGAGAAAUUCCAACAGCUUCCGCCACACACCGCCGUAGAGGUGGCGGGGGUUUGGUGCUCUUGACGGAGGCAGAGAAGCAGAAGGUGGAGGACUUACGUGGCCGUUGCACACCCAGCGGUGAAUCGAGCCGCUAUGUAGACGAGAUCCCGCCGUGGUGGCUGGGCUCGGGGGAGGUGGAGGCGGAGGCGGAGAUGGAAGAUGGGACCUGCUCCAUUGCGUGGCGGUGGUGACGUUGGACUUCCGACGAAAGGAGCAAAUGGGUAUGUCAGGAUGGGACGAAAGUUGGGAACUUGGGAGAGAUCUCAGGUUGGAAAAGCAAUGAAUCGAAGGAUUAUACGGUGGUGGUGGUGGUGGUGGUAGAGAUGGAGAUGGGGGAGGUUAUUCGCGGCGAAGUAAAGGCUCUUGUGUUUGAAUGAAUUGCUAAAAAGGCGCGGCCGCUUCAACGGGAUGGAGGACUCUUGAAUUCAUUUGAAACUUUUUUUUAAUUAAUUAAUUCUUUAUUUAUUUAUAAAUUCAAUAUUCAUUUAAUAUAUAACGUUAGGUUCGUGUCAGAAUUCUCUAUUUUUUUAAAUUGACAUGUUGACGUGUCGUGUUAUGCCGCAUCAUGUCGUGUCACGUGUCGCAUAUCUGUAUCGGUGCUACUUAUGUAAGCACCCAUACCAAUGAUUAAACACCAUUUCCAAAAGUGAUGGCUUUCUUUCUUUUUGUAAAAAAAAUACCACGACCCGUUGGAAGAAAGGCAAAGUCUGGGUCGUCGAUGAGAAACGACAAAACCGCUGAAUGGCGAUUAUUGGGGAAAAAGAUGUGCCGGGAGUCCGCUUAAUGCAUCACAUCCAAUCUCUUUUCUUUUUUCUUUUUUCAAAAAUUAACUCUACUACGGAAUAUUUUUCACUGAAAAUUCAGUUAUUAUUAAAGGAAAUGGAUUUUGCAACAAUUCUAGAUAGAAAAUAUCACAAGUAGACAAAGGAAUUGAUCACCGCACUUAAAAAGUAACUAAACGUACACAAAUUGUGCCAUAAUUUAAUCAAUGGCGCAACUUAACAACGCAGGAAUUUAAUCAAUGAUUUAAUACAUGGGAUCUACAAUAAAAAUGCCUGCUGGAAUUUAAUUAAUGACACGAACAGGGAAACUAAAGUUAUAAUGCAAGAAUUGAAAGAUAAUUGAAAAAUAACAUGUUUAUUUAUUUGUGCGAAUGAGAUAACUAUCUGGGAGAAGUCCUACUCCUCUUACAGCUGUAACCAUACCUCCACAUCUCUCAGAAUUUUCUGGACCAGGUUCUCCCCAUGAUAUGAUCUCAUCUCCAGGGGAUUGCUCCCUUAAAAUCGAGUUCUGAUCCCUCGUGUCUAUCCAUUGCCAAAUUCAUUGUUGCUCUACAAUUUAUUGGACUUUGUUGCUUCAUUCAUCAGUGAUUUCUCAUGCAACGUUCCAUAACCGAAUCUUGACACCCUCUAGGCAUCCGUUCUUCUCUUAGUGUUCCAACUGGUAAUCUAUCGACCUUUUAACCGAUAUUGUUGUCAACUAACUAUGUUACAACAAUGGCCAACUAUACGCGACCAUGUGUUGACAACUGUUUAAUGGUCAUUAAUAUAUGUUAAUAUCAAUAACAUGUCUUAUGAUCAUCGACAAUGGCUCAUAUGUUAAGUAAUAACUAGUAAUCAAGCCACGUGCGUAUCCAUAUUGACGAUCUGGUUAAUUUUUUGUGCAAACACAUUCACAAAGAGAAUAAUUAUUUCAUAUCUGAUUUACAACACGUCAUCAUGAUCAAAUAUAAAAUUAUUAUAAAACAGUGAUGAUACAAUACACUAAUGUGUUUUAGAAAUUCUCGCGUAUUAGAAGAAUAAUUAGAAGUGGACGUGCGAAAAUUCUAGAAAUUUGUGAGCAAGGAUGACAAAUUUUCGACGAUGACUUGUAAUGUUCAAAUCAUGAUAGUAAUUGUUCCCAUUCAUCACUAUUUUUUUUUUUUCAUUUGUGCUGGUAACUUCAACUUAAUAGGUUUUUCUCCCAAGCACCAUCAGUUUGAUCCCAUAAGGGGUAUAACUUAAUAGGUUUUUCUCCCAAGCACCAUCAGUUUGAUCCCAUAAGGGGUAUAACUUAAUAGGUUUUUCUUCCCAAGCACCAUCAGUUUCAUACCAUACGGGGUAUAAGUUGAUUAUGAUAAUUGAUAAUUAAAUAUAAAAAUAUUGUGCUGUAGUUAAUAUCAUAUUUUUUUAAAGAACAAAAAAUUCCACCGCGACGUGGACCUAAUAAAUAAGUCAUUUCUGCGAACGUGUCAUUAAGAGUUGCAAUCAUUAGUUUACUCUUUUUUCAGGAAAAACACGUUUGGUAUUGUUUGAUUUUCCUUGUGUUUGAAUCAUGACAUCUACAUUUCCUCUAAUCUUGAGAAACAAAUAUCGAAUUUAAAAAAUAAUUCAUAUUGAGACAAUUUGAGCUUACGUUUCUCUCACCUAGUCGACUUAUGAACAUCAGGUUACAAAUUGCAAAUGCUCAUAUGUUGGCGUUUGACAUUGCUAGCAUGAAGGUCGGGAUGGCUUUUUCAUGAGUGUUGGUAAAACUUGAAAGAGGGAUAAGCAAAACCGCUUUUAAUCACUGGUGAUAGGGCCGGUGAAUUCUGACAAGUGACACAAAUCGACAUGAAUUUAUAUAUAUAUAAAAGUUCUGUGGCAUUGUUACCAAAAUAUAGUGUUUUCCAAUUACACGACUUGACACAAUCACAAAACCCGAUUUAGGCAUAUGAACACGAAUUGGCAAGUCUUGUGAUAAUGUGAUAUAAGCAUCGAAAGCAAAUAAAAAGUAAUUUAUGUAAUUUGACGCUUUUUUCCAAAAGGGAGAUAAGGACACCACUAUUAUCAUAACUUUCGUACGGUACUCACUUGUGUGCUAUAACUUUUUUUUUCGAUCACUACCACAUUCACUUGAGCGCCAUUUUGAAUGUAAUAACUUUUUUAAAAACGCUUAUCCAAGUGUCAUAAAUUCAACGUGACAUGGCACUUGUGAUGAACGCUUUUUAAAAGUUAUUAUCCUUAAGUGAUUAAUUGAAAUGUUAUAGGACACUCAAGUGAUCGGAAAAAAAAUUGUAGCACUUAAUAAUCGUCAUAUGAAAGUUAUGGUACUCAAGUAAUCACAAUAUGAAAGUUAUGAAAAUCAAGUUAGCUUUUCGCUCCAUUUUGUAAUUUAAUGGAUUUAAUUUCUAUAUUGAUGAUACAUGACUAGACUUACAGAUUAUUGGAUCAUCUACUUAAGUAGGGGUGACCAUAGUCCGGGUGGGCGAUUCCCAACCCACCUUGGAACCUGGAACUACUCACUAAUAACUGGUUUCGAUAAAUUGGAAAUGGGAACUGUCCGUUGGAUCCAUAAAUUCACUCGGAAACCAAACCACAGGUGCGAUUUAGUUCUCAAGCAAGACCAUGAAACCUAUCCUCAAUCCCUCCAAACUUGCAUCCAUCAAUUAAUAUCAUGGUAAACCUAGUUUCUACAUAAAACAUUAAAGUUUGUUUGGCCUUAAAUUCGGGUUGAACAUCUCCAAUAAGUUUCCUCGAUCCUCUUCAUUUGUUUAUUUUUAUUUUUUUUAUUGAGAAAGCAGGUACAUAAAUUAUUAAAAUGAACAGAAAGUAGGAGGUUCAAUCCAAUUACGAACUCAAGAGACAAAAUGGGUCAAUAAUGUUCAAUACUGCAAAUAUAUAUACAUCUAUAUUAGUCAAAAAACUACAAAAUAGUUAAGUAAUUAAAUUAAUUUUUUUAAAAUUAUAUAUAUAUAUCAGUCCGGUCCAAUCCGAGGUGAGCAAUUCUAUACCCGAAACAAGGAACCGAAUUGAUACUCAUCGAUUUUAGCAAAUUGGAAUCGAAAAGCAGAUUGGUCCUUAUGUGAACCACAAGUCCAGUCUAAUUCCGGGCGGUUCCUAAUUCCUUUGCACACCCUUAUCAUUAAGUACUAAAAACGAAAUAUCCAAUGCUUACUAAGGUUACACACGUCUGAUGAUGCUAAAUUAAUUGAGACUUAUCUACAAUUCCUCGUUUAGUGAGGAAGUUUUGAUAUUCCCAAGUCAAUUUUUAGCUGCUAUCAAAUAAUAUUUCUCAUUUAACCAUGGGGCUACCUCAAUGGCCAAAAGUCUUAAAGUGAGUUAAGAGUUAAAUAGAAUAGACAAAAAUAUAUAGGCAAUAAUCAAAUUUUAUGUGGAAUAUUUUUGUUAUGGCAUAUGCAGAAACUAUAACAAAAAUGAAAUUGAGAAGAAUAAAAGAACACCAAAUUUUAUGUGGAAACCUUUUCCUUUACAAGAAAAACCAUGGGGAGAGGAGAAGCAAAUAUCCAUUAUAGAAAUCAAAGAUUACAAAAGGUGGCUCUGAAAAGCUUAAGAGUCUUUUUAUCUCGACUUCUUAUAUAUAGGCAAUAAUCAAAUCCAAAGUAGGAAACUUCUCCAACUAGGAAAAACAUUCAAUUAGGAAAUCUAUUCAAAAUAGGAAACCUACUUGAAUUAGAAAACUUUCCUUUUCGAGCUCAAACAAGAGACAUAUCCAACAAUCUCUACCUUGACUCGACGUUUGAAUCAAGUUACAAUCGCUUGGCUUGAAUUCUACAUAAGCAAUAAACAAUAUUCUCCUCCCAUUAGAGUAAAACUCAGUUGUAGCAAAUAUUAAUCAAAUCCAAGCAAUGCUUGAAUUUGGUGAUAAGCAAAGGCUUCGUUAAUAUAUUAGCUAGAUCAUUUUUAUAUCAAUCUUCAAGACCUUAAUAUAGCUAUCAACAAGAAUGUCUCGAAUAAAUGAUAUUGUACAUCAAUGUGCUUUGUUCUCCGAUGAUACAUUUGAUCUUUAGUAAGAUGUAUCGACAACAAUCAUACCAUGAUCCACACUGAGCUCUCUAAAUAAGCCUCUUAACCAUAUAGCCUCUUUAAUUGCUCCUGCAAUAGUCAUAUAGUCUGCUUCUAUAGUAGAAAAAGCUAUUGUAUGUUGUAAAGUAGCUUUCCAACUGAUUGCACAACCUUCAAUAAUAAAGAUGUACUUAGUCAAAGACCUCCUCUUAACAAGGGCACUAGCAUAAUCAGAAUCAACGUAUCCUAUCAGAAUGUUACCAGUUUUUCUAAACUUCAAACUAAAAUCAAAAGUACUUUUCAAAUAUCUCAAAAUUCACUUCACAACUUAUCAAUGAACUUUUCCUGGGCAUGAUAAAUAUCCACCUACCACACUAAUAGCAUGUGAAAUAGCGGGUUGAGUACAAAUCAUGGCAUAUAUAAGGCUAUCAACUGCACUAGAGUAUGAAAUAUGUGACAUAUAUUUUAUGUCAUCAUCUAUUUGUGAACAUGAAUUAGUUGAUAAUCUAAAAUGAGUAGCAAGAGGAGUACUUACUGGUUUAGCAUCUUUCAUGCCAAAAUGAUUUAACACCUUCUCGAUGUAGCUUUUCUAGGAGAGAUAUAAUUUUCCCCUUUUACGAUCUCGCCGAAUUUCCAUGCCUAGAAUUUUCUUUGUUGCACCUAAAUUCUUCAUCUCAAAUUCAGCACUUAACUUUGCCUUCAAAUUCUGAUUAUCAGAUGUAUCUUUUGUCACAAUCAACAUAUCAUCAACAUAUAAUAAAAGAAAAAUGAAAGAGCCGUUAGGAAAUUUGCCCAAAUAUACACAACUAUCAUAUUUGCUCCUACAAUAGCCAAGAUGCAUCAUAAACGAAUCAAACCUUUUAUACCAUUGUCUAAACGAUUGUUUUAGGCUAUAUAUAGACUUUUUCAAUAGACAAACAUGAUCUUUCUUACCUUCAAAUUGAAAACCUUUUGUUGGCUCAUAUAGAUUUUCUCUUCAAGUUCACCAUAUAAGAAAGGGAUAAGUACACUAAUGGUGCCAAAAGUUGUGUACGGCGCUCACUUUGGUGCCAAAAGUUUCUGUCGGAUCACUUAAGUGCCAAAUCGGAGGAAAAACGCUCACUUUGGUGCCACCGGCGAAAGAUUCCGGCCUCCGGCGAAAGAUUCCGACCAAAAUGAUUUUUUUUAAAAAAAAAAAUUGAUAAGCCUUUAAAUGACGUCGUUUUCGGUCCUCCUUAAGAAAACGACGUCGUUUUGCCGUCCUACGUGGAUGGCUUCAUGGAAACGACGCCGUUUAGCUCACAUGGGGAAGAAAUUAGGGUUUCGGCGAGGUUGAAGCCGUGGCCAUCGUCGGGGUUGAAGCUGCGGCCGCCGAGUGGCCAUCAUCGAGGUCGGGGUCGAGGUCGGGGUCGAAGCUACGACCGUCGAGUGGCCAUCGUCGGGGUCAGGGUCAGGGUUUGAGCCGCGGCCAUCGAGUGGCCAUCGUCGCGGUCGGGGUCGAGGUCGAGGUCGGAGCUACGGCCGCCGAGUGGCCAUCGUCGGGGUCGGGAUCGGGGUCGGGGUCGAGGUCGGAGCCGCUGCCGUUGAGUGGCCAUCGUCGCGGUUGGGGUCGAGGUCGGGGUCGAAGCCGUGGCCGCCGAGCGCGAGGACCGUCGAGGACGGCGACGGCCGGAGAUUAGGGUUUUGAAUUGGGGGAGACACCAAACGGCGUCGUUUUGGUGUUUGGAUGCUGACUCAGCUCUCCGACGAGCCACGUCGGCGUCAAAAAUUAAUAAAAAAAGGCCACGUCGGAUUUCCGGCCAAUUUCGUCGGAGUUGGCACCAAAGUGAGCGUUUUUCAAAUUUUUUGGCACUUAAGUGAUCCGACGGAAACUUUUGGCACCAAAGUGAGCGCCGUACACAACUUAUGGCACCAUUAGUGUACUUCCCCCUAUAAGAAAAAAAAAUUCACAUCUAAUUACUCCAACUCUAAAUCAUGCAUGGCAACUAACGCAAGAAAAAUCCGAAUAGAGCUGUAUUUAACAAUAGGUGAAAACACAUCAUCAAAAUCAACUUCCUCAAUAUGACCAUAGCCUUUAGCAACUAUAUGAACUUUGAAUAUGAUAUCUUCAACUCUAGGGAUACCUUCAUUUCUUUUGAAAACCUAUUUACAGCUCACAGUUUUAUUUCAUAUUGGUAGUUUGACAAGCUCCCAAGUUUGAUUCUUUUCAAAAGAUUCCAUCUCUUCAUUCAUAGCAACUAAAUGCUUUACUAAACCUUUUGAAGAAAUAGCUUCUUUGUAGGUUUUAGGCUCAUUAUACUCUCCUGACUCUACAACUGGAACAGCAUAAGCAACAAAAUUUGAAAACUCAUAUUUCCACAGAGGCUUCACUGUUCUUCUUGGUCUAUCUUUGACAAUAGAAUAUUGUUCCUCUUCAGGUUCUCUAAACUCAAUAUUAUUAGUAGACGAUUAAAUUGGUUGCGAAGAAAUUACUUCAAACUCUACUUUCACUAGAAUACUUUCUGGAUUUUCAUCACAAGAAAUAGAUAAUUCUUUCUUAGGAUGAAGCGUAGUAGACUCAUUAAAAGUAACAUCUCUACUGAUAAUAAUCUUAGAUGAAUUAACACACCAAAGUCUAUAACCUUUUACAUCAGAAGCAUAGCCAAAAAAGAUGCAUUUUUUUGCUCUAGGCUCUAAUUUGCCUUCACUAACAUGUGCAUAUGCUGGAUGUCAAAAUAUUUUAGAGAAGAAUAAUCAACAAGUUUACCUGACCAUAUGUCCUCGAGUGUCUUGCACUCAAUAGAUAUGCAAGGAGAACAAUUUAUCAACCAAGCAGUUAAUUGACAGCUUUCAGCCCAAAACUCCUUGCCUAAAUUAGCAUUAGACAAUAGGCACCUAGUCCUUUCAAUAAAGUUUUAUUCAUGCGUUCCACAAUACCAUCGUACUAUGGUGUAUUCACUAUUGUAUGAUGUCUCAUAAUACUUCAAUUUUGCAAAACUCAUUAAACUCACCUACACAAAAUUCCGGUUCAUUAUUUAUUCUCAACCGCUUAAUCUUCUUACCAGCUUGCUUCUCAUUAAUGAUUUCCAUUGUUUAAAUGUAACAAAAACAUCAUUGUUUGUUUUUUCUUUAAAAAUCAUCAAUGAAAGUGAGUAAAUACCUGGAACGAAAGCCUUUAGAAGGAAUUCCAUCGCGGUCCCACGUACAACUCCACGGACAUAACCUCAACAAUGAUCCCAAGUUUCUCUAGUUCAUAUAUUAUCAAUGAUCCCAAGUUUCUCUCUAGUUCAUAUAUAUCAAUGCAGCCGUUUUACCAAAUAGAGUAAAUUGACCUCUCUCGUGACUUGUAAAUCCCUUCAAUUGAAAAGUUUCUAGGACAUUUAAUCCUCCUAGGAAAACAUCAGAGUCAUGAGAGCUUACAUCUAUCAUGAAAAAUUGUCUCAGAGGGACAUUAUUUCGAAAGUAUUGAAACUAAGUACAUCUUGAACUACUUCGGUAUUCGGUAGAUAACCCACUCAACGACCUGCCUAUCCUCUUUACAACCAAUUACCACUGUGUUUUGUGUGUUGUUCAUAAAUUCAUCUAAAUUCACAAGAAACCCUUCCUUUUUAAGGGCCGGAUUUAUAGCUAAAGUAUAAGUAUCUGCCUGAAACUUAAGGUUGGGAAUCUUUGUGAACCUCGGGCAAAGAUGGUGAUGAUGUGGCACUGAUUCUGCCAGGCAGCAGAGUGUUCCUACGGGACGACCGCUUCCUAGGAACAAGUACACGCUCAUUUUCCCACUUCUCACCAACAUCAUCGUCAUCUUCGUCAUCAUCGUCGACACUUUUGAAUACUGGUUGGAGAUAUGCAUCUUGAAGGAAGCUAUUCAGGUUCAGUUGUGGUUCCCUUGCACAAUCCAGGGUGUCCUUCAUAAUUGCCUCUUGAAAACAAUGGCCAAACCAAACAUCACGAGAAGAAACUGUUAGCUUUCUUUUGUUUUCACCUUUGCUUUUCCCUGAUUAUCAGCAUGACAUACGUUAUAACAUUAUCCAAAUUAUCAAAGAUCAAAAAAGAUACAGCCAUAUUUGAGGAUUGGGGAUGGCCUCUCAGUCUCACUUUGGUUUGAUAACCGGCACCCUAGGGGUCCUUUGAACUUAAUAUUUUCAAACUCAAUCAUCUAUAGUCCCGGGCUUUCUAGGCAGGCAACAAUGACAGAUCUUUUCUCUGAUGCUGGGCAGCCUCUCAAGAUGGUGCUUGAGUUGUGGGAGCACCCCCUCCCGAGACUUUCCCAAAUCUCGGAUUGCUUUUACUAGAGAGAGAAUUCGUCAAGCCGGUUCACUAUUGCUACGGCUUGGGAGACCAUUAGGCAGAAGAGGACUCGGGUCCAUUGGCAUGCGUUCAUCUGGAACAAUGCAAUCAUGACACGGUAUCAAGUAAACCUUUGGCUUAUAGCCAAGCGCAGGCUUCCCACCCGGGCUCUUUUAUUAUCUUAUGGUAGAAUAGAAAGUGGAUCAUGUGCUUUUUGCAAUGAUAUGCCUUAUUCUAUUGACCAUCUAUUUUGUUGUUGUCGAGUCACGACCGGUGUUGCUUUCUUUUGGGCGGCCAGAUGCAAUCUGUCUUGGCGUAAUAGGUCUUGGGGGAAGAAUAUCCAUUAGGCCACCACCUUCUGGUUGGGCAACGAUUUCUAUAAGUGUAUUGCCCGCUUUUCCUUUGGUGCGCUAUGUCAUAUUAUUUGGAAAAACAAGAAUGGCAUUAUAUUUAAAGAACAGCCACUUGUUGUCCCGGCUGUGAAAAACCAUCUAUUUAAAGUGGUUAGAAAUAAGGCUAUCACCUUCAGAAAUGUGGACGAUAACUUCAGGAAUAGAAGACUGCACGGAGCUGGGGCAUUGACCCGAUUAUCUACUCUGGGGACCCUUAAUCGCCUCCCUAACUUCAGCUGACGAGUGUAUGUUGAUCAAUCAAAGGUUGUUGCUGCUUGCUGCGGUAGCUGUUGAUCUUUUCUCCUCCCUAGCCAAGGGUGUUUUUGUAUCUGGGUGCCGGUUGUCCAUGCCGUGCUAGUCUCUUGUUCUUUUGGCUUCUGUUGUAGUUUGGGUGCCACGUUUGGUGGCUUUUACAUCUCGGCAUCCGUCCACUCAUAAUGAUCUUAUCAUAUUUAGUGUAAGUUUUGGUGCCGUGCUCUUUUGUAUAGUUGGUCUUUGCUCAAUAUAAUUAUUACCUUUUACCAACAAAAAAAAAAAAAAAGAUACAACCAGACAAUACAACUAUACAAAUCCAUAAACCUCUUUUCCGACCUGUUUGAGCCAUCUCCCUAUAUAAGUCAUCUCUUAUCCGGAUGGAUUGGCCAUAUUAGGGCGCGAAUGAUAACCAUUCUGGUCAGAAAUUGAUUUAUAGAAGAAAAAUAGAUUUUUCUAUUUCUAUUUUUAGAUGAGUUUCUAAGCAAAAAUACCUGUUUGAUAACGACACAAAAUUUCUACUCCCAAAAUAGAAAUUCGUUUGAUAACGACAUAAAAUUUCUCCCUUUUGAACAACGGUGACUGGUAAUGGUCGACAGCGAUCGACGACCGGCGACCAGUAUGGCAGCGACAGCGACCGGCAACUAGCAACCAAUAGUGGUCGGCGGCGACUAGCGGACGGCAGCCAGCCACUAGCAACCGGUGGCCGAUGACCGGGGCGGUGGCGACCGGCAACCGACAACCGGCGUCCGGUGGCGGCAAAUGACAAACGAUGGUUGAUGGCGAUGGAUGGACGAUUGGUUCGUAGCAAGGACGAACAAUGAUCGAUUCGUAGCAAGAAUUUUUAUGUCUUAUUUAUGUUCCAAAAAUAGAAAAGUAAAAAAAAAUUGUGCUUCUGAUUUAUGUUCCAAACUUAUUUCUAGAACAAAAAUCUAUUUCAAAAAUAGAAAAAUGAAAUAAUUUUAUCAAAUGGAUUUCUAUUCCAGAAACAAGUUUGGAAUAAAAAAAUUGCUUCUUGAAUAGAAAUUUUAGUUUGUUAUGCACCCCCUUAGUAAUACCAAAAAAAAUUGCAUCAGGGCUAACUUAGGAUGUUCCAUGCUAAUGCCUUCAUUGAAUGAUUGGGCAAAACUAAAAGCAACAACUAUCCUCUAUGUAGAUGCUGGGAUCCAGUGAAAAGCAAUCAAGCAAGUCAGCACAUUAGAGAAACUUAAGCACAAGGCUUCAAUUACUUCUAUGGACAUAAAAACACUUGUUUGCAAAGCCUAAAAUUACGGACCUGUAAUGGAUGUAUAACAAAGGCAACUUCAUAACGGCCUUUGCAGAACCUAUGGAAACAGAUAGUGAGAACUGGAAGAGCAAUGAGGAAUGGAGUUAAAUUGGCAGCUUGCUUCAUAGCCAACAGUCCAAAUAAAAGCAACUGUGAUAUAAUUAAUGCAAUAAUAACACGAAGAUGCACAUCAUGCCAAAAUGCUGCAGCACUUUCAUACUCCUGGUUGUCGACGUUUAUUAUCCAAAAUAUUCAAAGGAUGUUAGGAUAAACACAAUGGAAUCAUGGAAGAAGAAGAAUAAGAAGUAGAAGAAGGGCUCAACGUGAUGCAUCAAACAUUGGUUCUUAAAAAAAACAAGUAUGUAUAAGCAAAGAUAUAUUCAGUAUAGAUUCUAUAAAAGUCUGGAAGUCAUCCCCAUGCACUCCCUUAUGCAUAAGUGUUAUAACACCAUUGAUCUAAAAACAAGAAAAAUCAACACCCAGACCCUUGGAGUGCCAAAAGUUGGCACAAAUGGACACUUAAGUGCCAAAAGUUACGAAAGUAACAUUUAAGUGCCAAAAUCAAAGCAAAAUAGAUCAUUUAAGUGCCAUCGACGAGAAAAUCCAACCAAAACGCUGACAUUGCAAUUUUCUGACGAGUUGCAUGCAAAACAACGUCGUUUUGUAUGCUGAUGUGGCUAAACAGUGUCAAAACGACAUCGUUUUGGUAUAAUUUGAAUUUUAACAUAAUAAUUAAAUUAAAUUUUAAAAAAUUAAGUAAUUAAUUCUUUUCUUUUUUUUUAAAGGAUGGGGGAAGGAGGAGGAGGGAGGCCGCUGAGGGCUCAGCCCUCGCCGCCGCCUCCCCUCCAUCACUGAGGAGGAGGGGGGGUGUCGGCCGGGGCCGCCGAGCUGCAGCGGCCCUUGGGUUGGCCGAGCGAGGGUCGGCGACCCUCGUCGCCGGUCCUCGGCCAGAGCUCAGCAGCCCCAACCAACCCUCCCCCACCUUCCAACCACGGUGGGGAGGCAGCAACGACAAGGGCUCAGCCCUCAGCCCUCAGCUGACUUCCUCCUCCUCCUCCUACUCCGUUAUUAUUAUUAUUAUUAUUAUUAUUAUUAUUAUUAUUAUUAUUAUUAUUAUUAUUAUUAUUAUUAUUAUUAUUAUUAUUAUUAUUAUUAUUAUUAUUAUUAUUAUUAUUAUUAUUAUUAUUAUUAUUAUUAUUAUAUUAUUAUUAUUAUNNNNNNNNNNNNNNNNNNNNNNNNNNNNNNNNNNNNNNNNNNNNNNNNNNNNNNNNNNNNNNNNNNNNNNNNNNNNNNNNNNNNNNNNNNNNNNNNNNNNACAAAAUGGUAAAGUAUUUUGUGAGAAGAAAUAUCUGGUGAUUCUUGUUUAUAUAUAUAUACUUAUAUUGUGAUUAAUAAAUAUAUUAUAAUAUAAUAGGAUAUACUGGACGGACAAUACUCGGGCGACCGGCCGUCGAGGCUCGGGCUCGCCCAGACAAGGCGAGGCUCGGCCUCGCCGAGGGCCGGCGAGCCUCGCCAUGGCUGGGCGAGGCUGCCGGCCCCGUCGGCCGGUUGCCGGAGGCCGGUGACCGGCCGAAAAAAGAAAAAAUAAAAAAGAAAGGAAAAAAUGAAAAAUAAAAUAAAAAUAUUUAAAAAAUUAAAAGAAACAAAAAAAGAAUAAAAUUUACCAAACGUGUUUCUGUUCAUUUUUUAUUCCCGGACCAAACGUUACCAAACGCGAUCUUUUGUUCAAAAAUUGUUCCCCGGAACAGAAACACUUUUUUUUGUUUCUGUUCCCAGGAACAAAAAAAGAACAGAAACGUUACCAUUCGCACCCUUAGUGAUCCCAUCAUUCCCUUGGUAAUAAUAACUCACAAAUACUUUCCUAGAACCACUGCAGGUAAUAUCAUCACAACUGAGGAUAAUCAUGGUUGAACGUCCUCUAGCUGUUCCUACAUUUCAGGCAUAUGAGCGAUGAAACUUCAAAGAAGAUACUCCCAAUCAUUGUUUUCGUAAGUACCUGAUGACGAAACACAACAUAAGCCAGGCAAAAGAAAGCAAGUAUGAAAGGAAGCAAGGCCGGUGUCACUGUAGCAUACACGGGGCCCAGUAAGUAAAACGGAAUUUGAGGUUCUCCAGUGUUGAAACCAAUGCUUCUAGGAUCCACUGCCUCCUCCCUAUCCUAUUCACUUAUCAAACUCGUGAAUCUUUCGGACGCAAAGCCCAUUAACUCCCUCACCGGGUCACAUUCACUGUGGGAAGUAAUUCUUGUAGUGGGAGGUUUUCAUCUCGGCUGCCUAUCUGAACCCUCAAAUAUUACGUGGCUAAAAAAAAUGUUACUUUAAUUAUUACUGAUGCAAAGACCUAAUGCACAUAUAUCAUGCUUUAGAUCAUAGGCAAUGUUAUUUUAGUCUUAUUUGGAAUGGAAAUUUGACAAUUUUUACCUAAAAUCUGAUAAAUAAAUGGUAUUAAAAACAAUGCAUAGUGACAAAACUUGAUCAUUUCAAAAAGUACAGGGCCUAAACAUGUAUCUUUAUUUAGAUAUUUUUACAAGCAAGACUCCCACGUCAAUAGCAGAAGCUCACUCAAUAAUUUCGAGCGAUUUUUUUUUUCACAGAAGUUUGAUAGAAUGACUUAUACUGUCAACUGGAAUAGUACAAAAAUCAGAAUUACAAUUAAACGGACUAUAAGGGGCUAUUUGUUAACUAUCUGAAUAGUGACUGAUUCUGAUUUUUUGCUCCCGGGAGUAGCUUUGAAAUAGAAUCACGUUUGAUAAAAAUUUUGUUCCUGGGAACAAAUUUCUAUCUUUUUGUUUCUGAAAAUAGAUUUGGAACAAAAUUAAGAAGAAAAAAAAAGUUGAUUCUUGUUCCCCGAAACAAAUUUAAGAAUCAAGACCAUAUUUCUCUUCUUUUUCCAUUUUCUCUUAUUCUUCUUCUCUUUUCUUCUUCUUCAUCCACCGCCAUCCCGCAGUCGCCAUCCACCACCAUCCGCCGCCAUCCACCGCCCGCCACCCCCCGCCGCCAAUCGCUAGCAACCAAUCUAGCAAGCUCGCCGGUGGCCAAGCGGGCCUCACCCAGCCCCACUGAGGCCUGCCUAGCCAUCAGCGAGGCCCAGCCUCGACGGGGCUAGGCUAGCCUUGCUAGUGGCCAAGCGGGCCUCACCCAGCUACCGACGAGGCUCGGCCAACGAGAGCCGACCUCAUCAAGGGUCGGCGACGCUUCGGUGAGGUCGCCCUCGUCUGGCCGAUUACCGAUCGAGCGACCAGCCACUUGAAGAAGAAGAAUAAGAGAGAGAAAGGAAAAAAAAGUAAGAAAAAAUAUUUAAAAAUGAAAAGAAAUUAAUUUAGAACAGAAUCAAUAAGCACAGUACCAAACAUAAUUUUAUUCCAAAAUCAGAAAUUUUAUACAGUUAUUAAACGGCUUAAAAUGCUUAAAAAUUGUUCCUGGGAACAGAAUAAAAAAUAAUCAUUUCUGAUCAAAAUUUAUUCUCAGAAAUAAAAUUGUUAUCAAACACACCCUAAGGAUCAAAGGCGGAUUUCGCCAAUACUGCAGACAAAAAAUGUAAUUUAUCCGGUCUUUUUUUAGUAUGUUAUUCAAAGUUUUUAACUUUAAAACUGCCAUCUAGGAUACCAGUAUGACAAUUAGCGCCAUGUCAAUAAUUACAUCAUAAUUUUUGUCUAAUGUAUUAUUGCCCAACGUUAAAAUGUGUGAUGCCAAGAAAAGUUGUUGGGUCUCAACAGUCACUUCUUCCUUCUCUCGACAGAAAGUAAAACAGCUUUUACAUUUCUGACAAUUUGUCCAUCCAUUGAAAUCCAGGCGGCCAUAAGGGAAUUUGCAUCGCCACGCAUCUUUGGUCAAAAAUGAAAAGCUAGAAAAACAACAAAUUGAAUAGGUGAAAAGAAAUAACCACUUUUAAGUGUUGGUUUGUCUAAACGAGAGUUAGAAUAGGAGUAAAGUAGGAUUGAUAGAAAAAAAACAAACAGGUGAAAAGAAAUUAAGAGGGUCAACAAAUAGAAGACAAUUAAAAUUCGUUGCUUGAAAUAGUCUAGACACAGUGCGCUAUUCGGUUGAUUUCUCGUUUGUAUCAAUCUCGAGCCGCAAAUUCAAGCGGCGGAACUUGAGAUUCUUCACAUACCUUCAAAUUCAAGCCGCAAAUUCAAGUCGGCUUAUUGAUAUCGCAAGGCACUACAAUGAUGAAGCAAUCAGAAACCAGAGCAGAACAAAGAACCGUUGGAGCCGCUGAGUAUUUGCUAUAGUAUCUUUCUAUGCGUUGAUUGUUGCGUUCAAGCACACCUACCUUCCUGAAAAGACUUCGGAAGACAUCUUGAUUCACCCAUUUUCCGUGCAUUCUUCCAAAAAUACAUCGACAUCUGAAGGAGGAUUAAUACCAAGUCAUCAUCGACAGGCUACCAUAUGAAAAGCCUUUUCAUCUAGGCAAAUAACUCGGGCGGGAAUUAUGUCAAAAAAUUUUCCUAUUAACUGACAGGCAAUACUGCCGCUGAUGGGGCUGACAUGUAGUAGUAUGCCCCAUAUGUUACAUCUUGUUAGCUUGAAUUUUGAAUCUCACAUUAUGAAAAAAAAAAAAAAAAAAAUCGGAACAUCAUUGGAUGUUUGGGCAAAAUUUUGAAGGCAAAAAAAAAAAAAAAAAAAGAUGUAUUUGCUGCUGUUUUCCAUCAGCUCGGCAAUUUCUCCUCCUGCUCAACAGGGACACACGGUCUCCAAAUAGUUUCCGUUCCGACAUCCAUGAGCGCAAUCCCCUUCACAAUUUUUUUUUGGUCGAAAAUAGAUAACUUUCAUUACUUAACCAUCAUCAGAACACCACAAAGUUUCAACAUCUAAGUAUAAAAUUAACGAAGGAGAAGGGGGGGACAACUUAUCCAGUUGAGGGGAAGAUCUCCUGCUCGGUGGGCCUCCGCUGCUCUAUUGGCUUCUCUGGGUUGGUGGGCUAAUUUGAUUUGAGGCAUGUUUUUCAAAAGAGUUUUGCAAUCAUCAGCUACUGCUCGUGCGGCCCAUACAAAUUCUUUUUGGCCCGAAAUACCUUGAAUAGUUUCUAGAUUGUUGAAGUGAGUUGGAACUCUUUUGCACUUUCCAAGUACACGACAGAUCGUACACUUCUGUUCUGUUCAAAGUGUUGGAGCCAAAGUAAAGCUUCCCUCACUGCUAGGGUUUCAGCGAUCAAGACUGAGGGCGCGUGGAUGGGUUUCGAGAAGCCGUCGAUGAGGAGCCUACUACUAUUUCGAACAACUCCAGCGAUCGAACCAGUCAACGUGGAGCUGCACCAGGCGCUGUCAACGUUGAUUUUGCAGGUAUGGGAUGCUUUUGUCGUCGACGAGGAGCUGCACCAGGCACUGUCAGCAUUGCUUUUGCAGGUAUGGGGUGCUUUUGCUGUCCACGGGUUGCUAUUCUUCGGAUCUAGCCUCAUCUUUUGUUGCUGCGAUCUGUUCCGCAGGAGUCGUUUGGCCGAUGAGCUUGGAAAAUCACAGUAUUCCUCGCUUUCCAGAUCUGCCAUAAAAUCUCAGCGAAAAAAGCUUUUGCCUGAGAAUUCGCCGCCGAGGUAAGGGCGUCCAGGACCCAUUUAUCAAUUCGGGUUAUUUGCGUUGGGGAAGUGUCGAUCUAUAGUCUCGGUUCUGACCAAAUAGUCUCGGUUCUGCCUGAGAAUCGGCCUUUCAACCGCUCCAGAAUCUACAUUGAAGAAAUUUCACAUUUAAAGCGAAUUCGAUCCAAGAAAAACUCAAUAAUAUUCAUAAGAACUUGCAUCACCUCAGAAUAAGUGAUAGGGGGCAGCAAACCCAGAAUAUCUAAAAUGCCCUUUAAUUCUUUCUCUAUCUCAGUAAGGGAUUGAAUUAUUGCCAAUUGCCAUUGCUUCUGCUGCUUCUUCUGGAGUGAAUUAGAGAACAUACUGAUUUUAAAAGUUAGAGAAAGUAAAGCAUAAACAAUACACAACAGAGAGAACGUUUGAAAAGGUGCAGCUUCUUUCAUGGUAAAGAAACAGUAAACCUAAUUACCUUGAGGGUGUUAGUAUUGUUGUUUAUGAACUUCAAGGCAUCCUGAAAAGCACCUGUCAGCACAUGUGAGGUGUUCAAGUCGUCGGCCAUUUUGUCGUGAAAUUCCUUCUGGAAGCCUUUGAUGCGUUUCUCGGCAUCUGGAAGAAACCGGACUGCUUUGCCUUUUGGUUCUGUACCCUCGCUGGCAGUUGCCUCUCUGAACAACGACAGAGUAUCUUCACAGUCUUGUAAUGUCUAACAUUGAGAGGACAUCCCCAGUAAAUUUUCUAUCAGAAAGCAAAGUCCAAGUUUGCAUGCAUGUCACUCACACAAAUACAUCCAACAUAAUCAAGGAAGGGCAUUUCAGAGGGACUCGGAGUAGUGGCUGCUGGCACUAGAAUUUGGCCAAAACCAUCCAAACAAUUCAUACAGGUCAUUGCAGAGACAAUAGGAAUGGUUUCUUCUCUAACAGCAUCAAAUCCUCAUGGUAUCUUCUAAUUAGUUCAGUCAAGCUAGCCCACCCUUUCAUUAGCUACAUAUGAGUCUGAGACCAAAGACUAUUGUAUGAGUAAGCAGCCAGAAAGAUGAGAAGUGAUUUGCAGUUAAUAAAACAAAAUUUUAUACCUGAUAUAUAAUAGACAGCCUCUGAUGCACCCUCCAACUGUAACACUGAAUAGUUGAGAGGAGAUCUAGAGUGUACACUUAUCAAGAAGUGUCUCAAAGCCAGUGGAUGGUAUUGCUCUGUAAUCUAUAGUUAAUACAAACUGAGUAUUUUUAGACACCAGGAAUGAUGAGAGCUCAAGAUAGAUUUUAAAACAUCAAGAAAGAAAACGGAACAAAAUUUGCAACACUACCUGACGAAUCGUAAAAAAGUCAUCCAGUGAUUUUGACAUUUUCUCAUUGUUGUUGGUCACGUGCCCAUUAUGCAUCCAAUAACUCACACAGCUCUCUUGGCAUGCAGCACGACUCUGGGCAAUUCAUUCUCGUGAUGGGGAAAGAUCAGGUCAAUUCCACUGCCGUGGAUAUCAACCAUCAAAUCUGAAAGACAGAUAAUGAGCACUCAUUGCGCUGCAUUCGGUUCGCCCUCAUCCGACGCUAGCAAGGGUUGCCCUUGCCUAAGUUCGAUGACCUCCGCCAUGGCUGAUGGAGGGAAAGGGGAAAAAGAAUGAAGGGAAAAAAAAAAAAGUAAACGGAAAAAAAUAAAUUAAAAGACGAAAAUGCCCUUCAGUCUAAGAGGUUAGACCCUUUUUUGAAAUUGAUAUGACCACUUUUAAGUUCUCUUUUAAAAUAAAUUUCAUGUUAGGUCCUUAUUCAAGAUGAUUUGGUCACUUCAAACUCUUAUUUGAGAAAACAAUGGCACUUCAAGUCUUUAUUAAAAUUUUCUCUUAUUUAUACUUUAAAAGAUUUGAGCAUGCAAAAGUUCGCCGGGUAAACAAAUUCAACUAGUACUAAUAUAGUAGUACUAGUAUAAAAAAUAUUAUACUAGUACUAAAUUAUGGCAAGCGUCUUUAAAUCAAUUACUUUCAUUGUUAAAAUAUCCAAUAUAUAUGCUGAAAUAGAGCAUAAAAUGAGUGAAAAAAAGAAUAAUUUGUUCAUUUUUGUUCCUUCGAAUCAAUCAUCCCUUUUGACUUUGUCAAAAUUUCAAACCAUUUGUGCAGCUACAUUAAGCACUACUAGUUGCAUUGUUCAAAUAGAUAGCUAAAGAUCUCUUGUGAAGAGAUGCAAACUUGCGACAAGCAGCAAUGCAAGCUCUGAAGCGAGCGUGAAUCGAUAACGAUUUGUGCAUCGAGUGAAACAGACCGGAUGAUAAUAUUACCGGCGAGAAGGAUGGUCAUUUGCUGCCUACGUGUGGUAGGCGAUUAUAAGUGGAUGUAGUGAUGAAAUCGGAUUUAUUCACCAUCUUGAAUUGGAAAUUGUGGGAUCAAUGAAGAGAAAGGUCGCUAAAAAAGGGACUGGCAGGGGCUUUACGACGAUGAUAAAAAUGGUACGAGUUGAUUAAGAAGGUUGACUACUGAAGACCUUUUAUAGAAGUCCAUGUAUUAGUUAAUGUCGGUGAGUUUAGCUGAACUCUUUUUAUUUUUAGGUGCGGGAUGAGUUAUGAUGAACAAGUUUUAGAAGGUGGAGGGAGAGGAGUUUAGGUACUUUGCUUUCUGCUUUCAAUUUCGUUGCAAAAAGUAGUUUUUGAGCCAUAAAUCAUGGCUCUUCGUGGAUGAAAAUUACUCUUAAUUCCUUUAAUAUAGUUAGAGCGCACAGCAAAAAUUGGGAGAUCGCUAGAAGGGAGCCCAAGCUUACCCAUAUUAAACCAUUUCAGCCUAUCUAGACUCAGAUUGUUUUAUGAAAAAAAUUUAGUAUAUUUAAGUGCUUAUUUGGUAUAGGUUUUUCUGUAGUGGCUUUAAAUGUAAAAAUGUGCGGUCAAUGAAACGCUUGUUUGUUCUUUUUUGGGCCUUUUUAUUUAUUUAUUUAUUUUCAACCUUUUGUGAUCGGGUUAGGGGGGAAUUAUUAAGGAAUGAUAGGUGGCCUCCCUCUCCGGUCCGGACCCAACAUUGUAAGGUUUCGGGCCGUGGUCGGAUCCUGAGAGCAUUUCGGGCCAACCCGUUAAACAACAAUUUUUUUGUAUUUUGUUUUUUUUUUUUUGAAUGUGUUGCCUCGUUUGGAUUUUAAAGUUUUUUUCGUUCUUUUUUUAAUGAGCGCUUUUUUUUUUUUUUUUUCCGUUCGGUCAAAUAUCACCGUUAUUUGCAGGGGCAAUGCGUUCGGGUUAGGUCGGUAUCCAGCCUGGAAUCGAAAAUAGACCUAUUGACUCUCGGUUCCAAAAGAUUGGAAUGGCGAACCGAAUCGGUCGGUUCUUCGUCCAAAUUCUAACCUAAUGGAUCGAGAGGGGAAAACAAUCAUGCUGGAAAAUCACGGCAAGCACCGGAGAGCUUUUGAAAGCAGCAUUCUCGAUAGAAAUGUUUCAGCCUUGAAUUUUGGUUAUCUCUAUUUAAAUGGAACGUUCGUUUUUCCUGCAUCCGAAUGUACAUGUUCCGAUUUCUCUCCGACUGCAUCUGACCGACGAAUGUUCCAGAAGCUGCGAGCGACGUACAUGAAUAGCUACGUCGAUAGCGAGCGGUCCGUAGCAAACGCAUUAAAGGGAGCGUCUAAGUAAAAUGACUCGUCGGGCACCCAGGACGGAGGGCUUCUUCAGCUAAAAGAACUUCCGGUACGGAUAAGGGAUAUGCUUUUUCCGAGCUUAUUGUCCGAAAUGGGAAGACCCGGAAGCACGCUCUAAAUGGCCAUAGAAAUUGCAUAGCUUGCUUCUUUCCCUGUCGAGAAGCCGUCGGAGCCUGUUGCAGUCCCAUGCGGUCAUGCCUGUCAAACCCGUCAACCGGCAACUUUCCCGGACAUUCAAUCCUACUAAGAAAGCAUCAGAGCCACGAGCGCUUCCAUCGUCUAAUUCGAAGGUAUUGAAGCUAAAGACAAUCUUUGCAAACUACUUAGGUAUUCAACAGACAACCCGCUCAACGACCUGCCUACCUAUCCUCUUUACAACAAAUUACUCACUGUGUUUUGUGUGUCGUUCAUAAACUCAUCUAAAUUCACAAGAAACCCUUCAUUUUUAAGGGCCUAAUUUACAGCUGAAGUGCAAGUAUCUGCCCGAAACUUAAGGCUGGGAAUCUUCAUGAACCUCGGGCAGAGACGGUGAUGAUGUGGUGCUGAUUCUGCUAGGCAGUGGCGUGUUCCUACGGGAUGACCGCUUUGUGGGAACGAGGACGCUCUCGUUGUCCCACUUCUCAUCAACAUCAUCAUCAUCUUCGUCGUCGUCAUCGGCACUUUUGAAUACUGGGUGGAGAUAUGCAUUUUGAAGGAAGCUCUUCAGAUUCACGUGCGGUUCCCUCGCACGUUCUAGAGUGUCCUUCAUCAUCGCCUCCUGAAAACAAUAGCCAAACCAAACAUCAUGAGAAUAAACUUCUAGCUUUCAUUUGUUUUCACUUUUGCUUGUCCCUAAUUAUCAGCAUCACAUAUCUAACAACGAUAGCCAAACCAAACAUCAUGAGAAUAAACUUCUAGCUUUCAUUUGUUUUCACUUUUUGCUUUUCCCUAAUUAUCAGCGUCACAUAUCUAACAACGUUAACCAAAUGAUCAAAGAUCAAAAAGGAUACAGCCAGACAGUACAACUAUACAAAUCCAGAAACCUCUUUUCAGGCCCAUCUGAGCCGUCUCCCUAUACAAGUCCAUCUCUUAUCCGGAUGGGCUGGGCUGGCCAUAUAAGUGAUACCAGAAAAAAUAGCCUCAGGGCCAACAUAGGAUGUUCUAUACUAAUGCCUCACUUAAUGAUGGGUCAAAAUUAAAAGCAACAAUUCACUUAAGGAUACAGUCAAACAGUACAACUAUACAAAUCCAGAAACCUCUUUUCAGGCCCAUCUGAGCUGUCUCCCUAUAUAAGUCAUCUCUAAUCCGGAUGGGCUGGGCUGGCCAUAUUAGUGAUACCAGAAAAAACCGCCUCAGGGUUAACAUAGGAUGUUCUAGACUAAUUCCUUACUUAAUGAUUGGUCAAAAUUAAAAGCAACAAUCAUCCUCGAUAUAGAUGCUGGAUCCGGUGAAAAGCAAUCAAGUAAGCAAGCACAUUAGAGAAACUCAAGCACCAAAGCUUCAAUUACUGCUAUGGACAUAAAAACACCUGUUUACAAAGCCUAAAAUUACGUACCUGUAAUGGAUAUCUAACAAAGGCAGGUUCAAAACGGCCUUUGCAGAACAUAUGGAAAUAGAUGGUGAGAACUGGAAGAGCAAUGAGGAAUGGAGUUGAAUUGGCAGCUUGCUUUGUAGCCAUCAGUCCAAAUAGAAGCAACUGUGAUACAACCAAAGCAACAAUAACGCGACGAUGCACAUCAGGCCAGAAUGCUGCAGCACUUUCAUACUCCUGGUUGUAGACGUUUAUUAUCUGGAAUAUUCGAAAAGAUGUUAGGAUAAACACGAUGAUGGAAGAAUGAGAAGAAGAAGGAGAAGUAAUAAAGGAAUAAGAAGUAGAAAAGGGUCUCAACGUGAUACAUCAAGCAUUGGUUCUUAAAAAAACAAGUAUAUAUAAGCAAAGAUAUAUUCAGUAUAGAUUUUUAUAAAAGUCUGGAAGUCAUCCCCACACGCACCCCAAAUAUUAAGUCGAAGCCAUCCUUAUAGGUGCGGCAGAAAUGUGUUAACACUAUUGAUCUAGAAACAAGAAAAAUCUCAUCAUGACCUGACUUUAGAGUCUCACCAGCCUAAGUUUUAGGUAACUAAUCUGAAAUAUCGAUCUUGAAGAGUGACAUUGAACAAAUCUGGGUGAACAACAUAAGGACUGCCUAUUUGCAACUUUGCUGGUUACCCUUCGAAAUUUUCCAUCAAUUUAGUGAUCCCAUCAUCCCCUUGGUAAUAAUAACUCACAAAUACUUUCCUAGGACCACCACAUGUAAUAUCAUCAUAACUGAGAAUAAUCAUGAUUGAACAUCCUCUAGCUGUUCCCACAUUUCAGGCAUAUGAGCAAUGAAACUUCAAAGAAGAUAUUCCCAAUCAUUGUUUUCAUAAAUACCUGAUGACGAAACACAACAUAAGCCAGGCCAAAGAAAACAAGUAUGAAAGGAAGCAAGGCAGGCGUCACUGUAGCAUACACGAGGCCCAGUAAGAAGUAAAACUGAAUUUGAGGUUCUCCAGUGUUGAAACCAAUGCUUCCAGGAUCCAUUGCCUCCUCCCUAUCCUUUUCAGUUUUCACCAAGAAAAAAUUCUUCAAGUGGUAGAUAAUCAAAGGCUUCAGCAUUAAAAUCUCUGCUGCUAUUCCAGCCCAACCAUCAACCAUAAUGUAAGUAAUGAAGAAAGUUGCUCUCUGGGGAAUGGCCAUCCCAAUUGUUUUAGGAAUCCUGCCAAAAAUAAGUAACACUUAUGACAUCUUCUCCAGAAGGACAGCUAGCAAGUACAUAAAAUUGGAGAAAAAAAUUUGCUGCCCAAAGGGCAACUGCUUAACAGGCCAGUAUUGCCACCCAGAACAAAGUCUUUCCAAGGUCAACUAACUUUAGCACACUUAUCAUCGUGUAAUCUUAAGUCAAGGCCCAGCACAAUAGUCAAAACAAUCUCACAUCAAACACGAGACAUGCAGAAUUAAUACAUCAAAAGCAGCGUACAAAAGCUGCAUCCUAGAUCAUACAAAAUAGGAUUACACCAAAAGCAGUGGAAAAGGAGCUGCAUCCUAAAUCAUACGGAAAUUAUGCCUACUAAUACGCCUACUAAUGACAAUGCCUGGUCGAAAGAUUUGAAGGUUUCCUUGUUUCACAGCCUCAGAUUUAUGUAUCAUCACCCCCCCCCCUUUUUCUCUCUCUCUCUCACACGCAUAGUGCAUCCGCAAGCAUACAGAAACACAUAGUACAUGCAGCGUGGGUACAGCUACCUGUCUAUACAUCAUCGUGUGGGUGCCGCAUGUGCAUAAAAUAUGUAUGGUUGCAUAUAUGCGUGUAAUGCACUUUUGGCAUCCUAUCUAUCCAAGGACAGAAGGGCGGCAAGCACUGCAUUGCAAUUGGAAAUCAAGGAGACAUGAAGAAAAAGAUAGCCUUGACAUACUCGCUGGGCGACUGAUGAAUGAAUGAGUUCAGUUGCUGAAAGGCAGAACCAGCAAUUAUGCUCCCGAGGAAUACAUUCACGAAAUUGAAAAGAUAAUAUCUAGUCGCUGAUCUCCUUUCAAGAGACGAUAGAGAUAUGAAGCCUUCAAAUCUAGACAUGAUCAUCAAUAUUGUAGGCAGGAAAAUGAGAAAAAGCUUCAACGCGAUCCCAGGCAGAAAACCCUGGAUGAACGACUUAAUGAAACCGCUGCAAGUCGAAUCAUCAAAAUAAAGUUAAUUUCCAUCAAAACAUAUUGCUAAAUCAAUUUGAUGCAAAGAGAGACUUAAAAAGUUGAGAGAUAAGAAAAACCAGACUUACAUAUCAAUAAUGGGCCUGAGAAAUGGAGCUACUUUCUCAAUCCCAUCAAGGCUUGCAAGAGAUUGCACAAAAGCAAUGGGUAUCAUGAAAAAGAAGGUGAGGAAAAAGAAUGCAACGGCCAUAAUUAGUCUUCUGAUUGUGAGAGAAACAUAUGGGAUGGCAAGGUUUGGCCAAUACACAUCGCGUGGCUCCGGAGCCCAAUCAGUGAGCCAGAGAGUUGGAUUUCUGCACUGUUGAGUCUGUGCACAGACAGCGGCACCCCAUCUUGUCUUGAAGGAAACAAAUGCAGCAGGCAUUAUAGACUUUGGAUCAC